GAUGAACGCUGGCGGCGUGCCUAAUACAUGCAAGUCGAGCGAACAGACGAGGAGCUUGCUCCUCUGACGUUAGCGGCGGACGGGUGAGUAACACGUGGAUAACCUACCUAUAAGACUUGGAUAACUUCGGGAAACCGCAGCUAAUACCGGAUAAUAUAUUGAACCGCUUGGUUCAAUAGUGAAAGACGGUUUUGCUGUCACUUAUAGAUGGUUCCGCGCCGCAUUAGCUAGUUGGUAAGGUAACGGCUUACCAAGGCAACGAUGCGUAGCCGACCUGAGAGGGUGAUCGGCCACACUGGAACUGAGACACGGUCCAGACUCCUACGGGAGGCAGCAGUAGGGAAUCUUCCGCAAUGGGCGAAAGCCUGACGGAGCAACGCCGCGUGAGUGAUGAAGGUCUUCGGAUCGUAAAACUCUGUUAUUAGGGAAGAACAAAUGUGUAAGUAACUAUGCACGUCUUGACGGUACCUAAUCAGAAAGCCACGGCUAACUACGUG
rnacentral:rRNA from 1 species